rnacentral:lncRNA from 1 species
CCCUGACCGUCCGAGCUUCCGGACUUCUCCGAUAAUGAGCUUCUCCAUCCAUCUACCGUGCCAUUCCAAAGGCUCUCUAGGCCUCACUGUCAGCCGACCUUCUACAGUGACCAACUAUUCUCCGAACUCCUUCCAGACUCCGUCAAUAUCCGAGCUUCUUUGACAAUGAGGUUUCUACAAAAAUCGGACUCCAUCCGAGUUUCUACGGCGGUCGACCACCUUCAAGAUUCUAAUCGAGCUCCUGUGAGAGCCAAACUUCUACUACGAGCGAUCUACUCUG